rnacentral:sRNA from 1 species
UCCUUGACAGAAUUGACUAUAACGUUGAACAGUCCUGUAUCAAAACUGAAGAUGGUUUGAAACAGCUUCACAAGGCUGGUUAUGAAGAAAAAACUCAAAAUAACAGGAGUGGCUUAUGGAACUACAUGGAGGUAACAGAGGAGGGUACCAACCAAAGGCCCUUGAGCAAUCAGGAUGUUGGGUAACAGAUUUUUGCUUUUAAAUGACUCUGGGUGGAGCUUCCCCAAUGCAUCGUCAUUCCCUGACCCUCGCAUCUGACCCUGUGGGUGGGACCCUCCGCCUCCACCAUCCACUCACGGCUCACCCCUGGCUCCUCCACCACCCGGCUCCUGCCCCACACCCCCUGAUGGCCUUUCCUCCCCUGUAAGGCGACUGAGGUGACUCAGGUCACCCUGCUCCUUCCUCGUCUCAUCUCCUCCCUCCUUUCCUGCUUAGACUGUACCAGAUGACCCUUCUUGCAAAGGGGUGGGCGGGAAGGCCCCCCAUGCAGCCAGGCAGUGCCUGGAUUUGUAACUGGCCAUCCCAGCAGCAGUGCCCUGGAUGGAAAGCCACGUCCC